rnacentral:snRNA from 1 species
GAAUGUGAGGGCGAUCUGGCUGCAACAUCCGUCACCCCAUUGAUCGCCAGGGUUGAUCUGGCUGAUCUGGCUGAUCUGGCUGGCUAGGCAAGUGUCCCCUUCCUCCCUCACCGCUCCACGUGCGUCCCUCCUGAAGCUGCGCACUCGUCGAAGAGGAUGACUUUCCCUGCUACAGGAGGACCGGUCUUCGGUCAAGGGUAUACAAGUAGCUGCACUCCCAUGCUAGAACCUCCAAACAAGCUCUCAAAAAGCGUUAACACCAGUGCAGCCACCCGCCGACGCCUGCCCCAGCAGCGGUUGGC